rnacentral:misc_RNA from 1 species
GGACGAACGGCCGGUCAAGCUCACGUCUCGGCUCAAUCUCGAUCUCGUUGACCUAACCCUCUCCCAUCCACCACUCAUCUUUCUCUUCUUCGACAAAAAAAAGGGAAACGACCGAUCUCCACCCGAAAAUUCCGAUUCGAAUCCCCUUUCUCUGCACUGGUUUUUGUCUUCUACCUUCGAUUUCCUUGCGAAGCUUCGUUCAACGGACGAUGAAACAGAGAGAGGGGAAAUCUCUCCUGCUUCUAUUUCCUCUUUUUUUAUUUAUCCUUUUCUUCUUCGCGGCUCCUUUCGCGUAAAUAUUUCACAGUUACGCCAUUUUGCAUUUGUGUUUUUAAAUUUUACCAAACGC